UGGCUACUAAAUCUAUCUAUAUAUAUAUAUCCAGUCUGGUUACAAAUGUUUGUAUUAUCAAGUAGAUCAGAUUGAACCAGAAAAAAUUAAAUGGGGCGAAAUGAAAGCACUCGAUCAGAGCUCAAGCCGGGUGAUCACAUUUACAGUGAUAAGGGUGAGAUUGAUAUUGUGAUUGCGAAACUGAAUGUCUACAAUCAUCACGGAAUAUAUGUGGGGGACGGCAUUGUCAUUCAUUUCCUAGCGCCUGCAAAGCAAAGCAACUCUUCUGUCCCAUGUAAAAGAUGCGGGCACACACCACGCUUACACUAUGGGAUCGUCCGUACAUGCGUGGAUUGCUUUCUUGAUGGUCAUUCAUUAUAUAUAAAUUAUUGGGGUGACUGCAAGCCACCCUAUGAGGUUGUGAAGACUGCCAUGGAAUUUUGCGAUGGAAUAAGGUCCUUUGGUGAGUAUGAGCUUUUGAAUAACAACUGUGAGCACUUUGCGACCUUUUGUAAAACAGGCAAAAAGUCAUCUAAGGAAAUUAAGGCUGCAGUUAUAAAAAUUACCCAGGCAGGAUGCAUUGGUGCACUUGGUCUGCUCGAAUAUGCAAGGCAAGUGCUAAAAACAAAGGAGAGCCCCGUCACCUUGGAACAUCGUGCGUGAAGGGUUGAACGAAGAAUGAAUACUAAGAGUUUCUCUGUUUAACUACAUCAAAUAAAUCAAUUUGCACGCAUGUAACUGGACCUGUGAGAUGCUCUCCUAGUUUGUGUCCAGUAUCCUUAGUUCUCCUGGGAACUUGGGGUUCACUGCUUGUAAACGAAAACUCCUCAAUCGUUUGAUUGAAUAAAGCCCCACUUUUCCUUUCC